rnacentral:rRNA from 1 species
AUUGAACGCUGGCGGAAUGCUUUACACAUGCAAGUCGAGCGGCAGCGCGGGGCAACCUGGCGGCGAGCGGCGAACGGGUGAGUAAUGUAUCGGAACGUGUCCUUGAGUGGGGGAUAGCCCGGUGAAAACCGGAUUAAUACCGCAUAUGCAGGAGACUGGAAAGCGGGGAUCGCAAGACCUCGCGCUCUAGGAGCGGCCGAUAUCCGAUUAGUUUGUUGGUGAGGUAAAGGCUUACCAAGGCGAUGAUCGGUAGCUGGUCUGAGAGGAUGAUCAGCCACACUGGGACUGAGACACGGCCCAGACUCCUACGGGA